rnacentral:tRNA from 1 species
UCCACUGUAGCUCAGUGGUAGAGCAAUCGGCUGUUAACCGAUCGGUCGUAGGUUCGAGUCCUACCUGUGGAG